ACAAUUCCUCGUUAGAUUGAGGCGUUUGCACAAACACAGGCUACUACCCAGAAACGUCGAAAGACGCCAAUGCGGUCAACAGGUUUUGUCGGCUUAAGGCUUAACCCAAUGUAGCUGGUCCCAAACCUACGUUGUGCACUGCCGAAAGCCAACCAGGGGGAAGUGG
rnacentral:sRNA from 2 species